AAUUCGUCAAUUGGUUAUUGGCACACUAUCAAUAUUUUGAUUUAGAUCAUUGAUAUACAAAAAACCCAAGAUGCACACUCAACGUCUAAAAAACGUCCUCAAAAAUGAGCGCAACAUUCUAAAUUGUGCGCUCAUUUCAAAUAGUCUCGCGUCGCUCGCGUCUGGGAGCAGUCGUCCAAAAUGUCAAAGAGUUCUGUAAGAAAUUGUAAAAAUAUUACGUCAAGAAGGCUAAAAAAGGAUGGGAUAUCGUAUUUUCGAUUGAAAUACCGGAUGAUGGCGGUGAUACUGAAGUGUGUCCUACGAGUUCAAUGUUUAAUUUAGAAAUUGAAAAGAAAUUCAAAUCUCCUACCACUUCUCUAAGCACGGGGUCAGUUCUGGAUACACCUCGAAUUUUUGCUAAUGUUUAAUUAGCAAUGAAAAAGAAUUCGAGAUUUUAAAAAGACUAUUUCACUAAAGAAUGCGUUAAAUGUUUUAACGAAAAGGUUUAAAUCGUUUUGAACCAAAUAUUUGAAUAAACAAUUUUAACAGUUA